rnacentral:ncRNA from 1 species
GUUACAACUUCUGAGAUAAUUGAUUAGAGGGCGUCUAGCUUGGUAACGAGCUAGAGUAUAACUGGGUGAAUUGCUGGAACUUUCUAAAGCUUCAUCAACCACAACGUAACCAGAAAUGGUAGGCGUGAAGGUGUGAAAAUGAUGAAGAUGUGAUAAUGGAUAAUCAGCAGCCAAGCUCCUGUGAGGAAACUCUGGAGAAGGUUCAACGACUAGAGAACACGGUCUAAGGCGAAAGCUAUGACUAUGAAUCUCGUAGGGCAGUUAAUGCUGUUCGAAGUGCCCAGCCCCUUUCUAGAUUAAGGGUGAAGAUAUAGUCUAUUCUAUGAUCGAAAGACAUAG